rnacentral:misc_RNA from 1 species
AUCCUUUGGGCUCAUCACCCAG